rnacentral:tRNA from 1 species
GGGCCUGUAGCUCAGCUGGUUAGAGCGCACGGCUGAUAACCGUGAGGUCGGUGGUUCAAGUCCACCCAGGCCCACCA